rnacentral:rRNA from 1 species
CCUACGGGAGGCUGCAGUGGGGAAUAUUGCACAAUGGGGGAAACCCUGAUGCAGCGACGCCGCGUGAGCGAUGAAGUAUUUCGGUAUGUAAAGCUCUAUCAGCAGGGAAGAAAAUGACGGUACCUGACUAAGAAGCCCCGGCUAACUACGUGCCAGCAGCCGCGGUAAUACGUAGGGGGCAAGCGUUAUCCGGAUUUACUGGGGGUAAAGGGGGCGCAGACGGCUGUGAAAGUCUGGAGUGAAAGGCGGGGGCCCAACCCCCGGACUGCUCUGGAAACUGUAAAGCUGGAGUGCAGGAGAGGUAAGCGGAAUUCCUAGUGUAGCGGUGAAAUGCGUAGAUAUUAGGAGGAACACCAGUGGCGAAGGCGGCUUACUGGACUGCAACUGACGUUGAGGCUCGAAAGCGUGGGGAGCAAACAGGAUUAGAUACCCUUGUAGUC